rnacentral:rRNA from 1 species
UACAGAGGUCCCAAGCGUUGUUCGGAUUCACUGGGCGUAAAGGGUGCGUAGGCGGUCGGGUAAGUCUGAUGUGAAAUCUCACAGCUUAACUGUGAAACUGCAUUGGAUACUAUCCGGCUAGAGGAAUGGAGGGGAGACUGGAAUACUUGGUGUAGCAGUGAAAUGCGUAGAUAUCAAGUGGAACACCAGUGGCGAAGGCGGCUAUCUGGACCGUAACUGACGCUGAGGCGCGAAAGCGUGGGGAGCAAACAGG